rnacentral:rRNA from 1 species
UACGUAGGGUGCGAGCGUUGUCCGGAAUUAUUGGGCGUAAAGGGCUCGUAGGCGGUUUGUCACGUCGGGAGUGAAAACACCGGGCUUAACUCGGUGCUUGCUUCCGAUACGGGCAGACUAGGGGCAUGCAGGGGAGAACGGAAUUCCUGGUGUAGCGGUGAAAUGCGCAGAUAUCAGGAGGAACACCGGUGGCGAAGGCGGUUCUCUGGGCAUGUCCUGACGCUGAGGAGCGAAAGUGUGGGGAGCGAACAGG